GUGUCAGCCGCCGCGGUAAUACGUAGGAGACGAGCGUUAUCCGGAUUUACUGGGCGUAAAGAGGGCGUAGGCGGUCUUUCAAGUCGGAUGUGAAAUCUCCCGGCUUAACUGGGAGGGGUCAUUCGAUACUGUUGGGCUAGAGGGCAGCAGAGGGAGGUGGAAUUCCCGGUGUAGUGGUGAAAUGCGUAGAUAUCGGGAGGAACACCAGUGGCGAAGGCGGCCUCCUGGGCUGUUUCUGACGCUGAGGCCCAAAAGCGUGGGGAGCGAACAGGAUUAGAUACCCUGGUAGUCCACGCUGUAAACUAUGGACACUAGGUAUGGGGAGUAUCGACCCUCUCUGUGCCGAAGCUAACGCUUUAAGUGUCCCGCCUGGGGACUACGGCCGCAAGGCUAAAACUCAAAUGAAUUGACGGGG
rnacentral:rRNA from 1 species